rnacentral:rRNA from 1 species
UACGAAGGGGGCUAGCGUUGUUCGGAAUUACUGGGCGUAAAGCGCACGUAGGCGGAUAUUUAAGUCAGGGGUGAAAUCCCAGAGCUCAACUCUGGAACUGCCUUUGAUACUGGGUAUCUUGAGUAUGGAAGAGGUAAGUGGAAUUGCGAGUGUGGAGGUGAAAUUCGUAGAUAUUCGCAGGAACACCAGUGGCGAAGGCGGCUUACUGGUCCAUUACUGACGCUGAGGUGCGAAAGCGUGGGGAGCAAACAGG